rnacentral:rRNA from 1 species
CCUACGGGCGGCAGCAGUGAGGAAUAUUGGUCAAUGGCCGGAAGGCUGAACCAGCCAUGCCGCGUGAAGGUCAGUGCCCUAUGGGCGUUAAACUUCUUUUGUGCGGGAGCAAUAAUGGUCACGUGUGGCCAGACGAGAGUACCGUACGAAUAAGCAUCGGCUAACUCCGUGCCAGCAGCCGCGGUAAUACGGGGGAGGCAAGCGUUAUCCGGAUUUAUUGGGGUUAAAGGGUGCGUAGGCUGUGAGGUAAGUCAGCGGUGAAAUGCCCCCGCUCAACGGGGUGAAGUGCCAUUGAUACUGCCUUGCUGGAAUGCGGAUGCCGUGGGAGGAAUGUGUGGUGUAGCGGUGAAAUGCAUAGAUAUCACACAGAACACCGAUUGCGAAGGCAUCUCACGAAUCCGCGAUUGACGCUGAUGCACGAAAGCGUGGGUAUCAAACAGGAUUAGAUACCCCUGUAGUC